GAUGAACGCUAGCUACAGGCUUAACACAUGCAAGUCGCGGGGCAGCAUGGGGGUUGCUUGCAAUCCCCGAUGGCGACCGGCGCACGGGUGAGUAACGCGUAUCCAACCUGCCCUUCACCACGGGAUAACCCGGCGAAAAUCGGACUAAUACCGUAUGUUGUCCAUUGACGGCAUCCGAUUUGGACGAAAGGCUUGGCGGUGAGGGAUGGGGAUGCGUCCGAUUAGCCAGACGGCGGGGUAACGGCCCACCGUGGCUACGAUCGGUAGGGGUUCUGAGAGGAAGGUCCCCCACACUGGAACUGAGACACGGUCCAGACUCCUACGGGAGGCAGCAGUGAGGAAUAUUGGUCAAUGGGCGUAAGCCUGAACCAGCCAAGUAGCGUGCAGGAUGACGGCCCUAUGGGUUGUAAACUGCUUUUAUGCGGGGAUAAAGUGGCCCACGUGUGGGCUUUUGCAGGUACCGCAUGAAUAAGGACCGGCUAAUUCCGUG
rnacentral:rRNA from 1 species